AUUGAACGCUGGCGGCAGGCCUAACACAUGCAAGUCGAACGAGUGGCGGACGGGUGAGUAAUGUCUGGGAAACUGCCUGCUGGGGGGGGAUAACUACUGGAAACGGUAGCUGAUACCGCAUACCAUCGGAUGUGCCCAGAUGGGAUUAGCUAGUAGGUGGGGUAAAGGCUCACCUAGGCGACGAUCCCUAGCUGGGCUGAGGGGAUGACCAGCCAAACUGGAACUGUGACACGGUCCAGACUCCUACGGUAGGCAGCAGGGGGGAAUAUUGCACAAUGGGCGCAAGCCUGAUGCAGCCAUGCCGGGUGUAUGAAGAAGGCCUGCGGGUUGUAAAGUACUUUCAGCGGGGAGGCGUUACCCGCAGAAGAAGCACCGGCUAACUCCGUGCCAGCAGCCGCGGUAUAC
rnacentral:rRNA from 1 species